rnacentral:tRNA from 1 species
UUUGAUGCCUGAAUUCUUUGAUUUUUAGGCCAUAAUCCUGUCACCUUAGGUCGAUCGGUACCUCAGUUUGAUUUUUCAAAAACAAGUAAUUUGUUUUAUAAGUCUCGAAUUCAGUUCCUAAACUUUUUCUAGGUCACACCCAACAAGGGUACUCCUGGGCCAUUAGCUCAGGUGGUUAGAGCGCACCCCUGAUAAGGGUGAGGUCCCUGGUUCAAGUCCAGGAUGGCCCAUUCGGUGUUGGGGGUAUAGCUCAGUUGGUAGAGCGCCUGCUUUGCAAGCAGGAUGUCAGCGGUUCGAGUCCGCUUACCUCCACUGAUCCAACUCCUGAUGACGAACCCAAAGGAGAUUUGUGUUGAUGUGAUCUAGUAUUUGUUCUCUAUUAAUGAACCUAGCUUCUUGUCAUUCCUCAACAAUUAAUUUUGUAUGGCUGAUAGGACGCUGGGCUCCCUGCAAUACAAAUUGCAGAGACGUUCAGUAGAACCUUGACAACUGCAUAGGUGAGUCUGGAAAAAAUAAAGCAUCUCAUGGAUGCAUUAUUUUUUUAAGUUGAUUGAAGAGUAUUCUGAUUAAAUCAGAAUUUCUAAUAUCAACUUUAAAUUAUAAUGAUUAAUUCUUGAGCAAGAGCUGAGACUCUAAUAACG